AUGCAAAAUGAGGCAGAACUUAGCUUGUCACAUAGGUGUAUUCUUCCUGGAACCGAUGCGGGGUCAGAAAACUGAUGGCUUUUAAGCAAGCUGGACGGGUCCUCUCAGCGCAUUCCCCCACCCGCCUGGCGCCAAUGGAGCUGGCCUGGCCCGCCCAGCCCCUCCCCGCCCCGUCCGCGCUCGGACCGGACUUUCAGGACUGCAGGGGAAAGGGUGGACACCCAGCCUCCCGCCAGGUCAGAGCAGAGGCUAAAAAUGGCCCAGGGGAGACUGCUGGAGUUGCAUGGAGUUCGGGAGCCUAGGAGGGGUCUGAAAAUAACUGUCAAAAAGUUUGAAGGGUGUGUGUUGGCUUGGGGAAAAAAGAGGGUGGAGUGCAUUACAUAAAACUUUUGCAGCUUGUAUUUCCUUUUUUUUUUUUUAUGUUUAAGGACGGCGGAGAUACCUUCAACGUAAGACUGCAAUCAUAAUUAAAACAUGAAUAGUAACAUUUUAAGUUCGUUGUGCCAUUAUGAACUCAUGUUAGUGUUGGACAUUCUAUGAUCCCAGUCCUGUUUAGGCAACGUUAUUGAGGGAUUUAGUUUGCGGAUCUACCUUUCAGGGACAAAGAACCUAGACAGGGAAAGAACAGUAACUUUUGACAGAAAUUUUGCUUCCUGUGAGAUGUGGUUAUUCUCUUCCUUUCACAUCUGUUUGUAGUUCUUUUAGUUUUCCCAGGCAUUAAAUAAAUUAAACCCUCUUUCUUGGAAUCACCAAUAUAUUAAUAUAUUGGGGGGAAAAAGAUUUGAAUUACUUAGGAAGUUGAUGAACUACCCACUCCAACAAUAGAGCCCUGAAAAUCAGGCUUAAGCUUUUGGCCAUACUACUAAAGACUAUCCCUCCUGACAAACACACACCCUCUUUUUUUUUUUUUUUUUUUAACUGGUUGACAGAUCUUUUUUGCAUCAUCACCAUUUUCAGUUUAGAUUCUUACUAGGUGGGAUAAAUUUCACCAUUCUAAUAUCAGCCAUCACCAUUAUGCCUGGUGAAAAAUACAGAAUGUCUGGGCUGCAUCCUCAGAGUGUCUAAUUCGGUGUUUAUGGGAAAGGGACCCAGGAGAAUCUGCAUACCCAGCAAUCCAUGUUUUCAGGGUUGUGGCUUGGGAAAGAACUGUUCCAGACUUCUGCACUUCCUAAGGACCUAUUUUGUAGAUGUUGCAGUGGACGGAAUGUUUGUGCUUUCCCUUAAAUUCAUUUGUUAAAAUCCUAACCCCAAUGUGAUGGUAUUAGGAGAUGGGGCCUUUGGGAGGUAAUUCAUAGCAUAGAGGCCGCAUGAAUGCGAUUAGUGCCCUUAUAAAAAAGGGACCCAGAGAGCUGUCUCCAUCUUUCUGCCACAGGAGGAUACAAAAAUACAUCAGUUUGCAAACCAGAAGAAGGUCCUCACCAGAAACCAACUAUGCUGGCACCCUGAUCUUGGACUUCUAGCCUCCAGAACUGUGAGAAAUAAAUGUGUGUUUAUAAACCAGUCAGUCAGUCUAUGGUGCUUUAUUAUAGCAUCUGGAACGAGCUAAGACAGCUGCUAAGUAGCAUUCCAUUUGACAAGGAAGACUUACCAUUCACACUACUUCUGAGUUCAAUGAAAGAGAGGCUCGCAAUAGAAAACUUAUACAGUACUUUCUAUGGUCAGUUGUGAUCAUAAAAAGAGAGUAAGAAGAAAAACAACUCUGAAAGACAAGAUUUGGUUUCUCUCUUUCAUUGUACACAUAAAAUAAGACUUGACCAUCUGGAAAAAGGAAGCCUGAGAAUGAAUAUAUAAGAAGAGGACAUAAAAUGGUGGAAAGAGAAAGCAUGGUUUUAGCAGCCAAAUUCUGAAAUAAGGCUAAACCUACAUGGAGGCAUUUCUUCAGCUUGAAGGAAGGAAUUUAACCCAAAGACAUUGGAAAAUGACUUGACAGAGUCACACAGGAAAUUGUUGUAGGAAUUAGAACUAGAAAUCUGGUCUCCUGAUGAUCAUUUCUAGGAAUGGCUACUAAAAAAUCAAAGAAAAAGAUUUCAAUAGAACUAGAAAUCUGGUCUCCUGAUGAUCAUUUCUAGGAAUGGCUACUAAAAAAUCAAAGAAAAAGAUUUCAAUCAUCUUAAAGCAAACAGUCUCAUACUGGAGUGGUGAGGAUGGUAAAUUUUAAAGAAAACAGGCCCUCUUUGAUGUAACACUGGUUAACCCAUUAAGCCACAGUCUCUACUAUUACAGCUUUUGGAUGUGACCAAAUCUCUCCAAAUUGAAGUAACAAGCAAGGCCAAAGCAGCCACACUCUUUUUGGGUGGAUUUGUCUCCCCUACACACCAUUCUUUCCCAUAUACUAGAUGUUUAGUAACUUUUGUCUCAGAUAGACUGAAGACACUAAAAGCUGCUAUUGUUCAUUAAAAAGCAAGGCCAAAGACAUGCUGGGCUAAUAUGGUACACUAAAGUUGGUAAUUUGAUUGGUUUGGACUGAUUGCCUACAACUGUCUGAUUAAAUGUUAAAAUACAAAAAUUACAGGAUAUCAUUAUAUCUGGGGGAAAUAAUGUAAUGCCUGCACAACCCAAGCCAUAUCCUAUUACUCUUCCCUAUGAAGGGCCUGGAUGUCAUUCAAUUUUUCCAAAGUAAAGCAAGGUGCAAGGUCAAAAUAGACCCACAAUGUAAUCUGUCCUCUCUCAGAAUGUAAUAACGUUACUUUCUUACUGGCUUUGUUAGUUACAGGCUAACGUCAACCACAGUCUUAACAACCUGACGGAACAGGUUCAGAGACCUGGGAGCCUGAAGGGAAAAUGAAAAUAACAAAAACAAAAAACAAGAAAGGUGCUGGCUGAACAAUGGCUAAAAUGAAAAUAGCACACAAAGUUAAAAAUUGAAAAACCUAAGAGAGAGAGAGAUAGUAUAUGUGUACGUAUAUGUACGUAUAUGUAUAUUUACUUCCCCUAGGUUAGGAUAUAGAAGGUCCUCAAGCCUGCUUUUAUUUAACUUUGCUGAAAGUUUUUCAGUAGUUUUCCAUCUUUAUGUUCAGACCACAUAAGAAAAUGUCCAAAUAAACCAUCAGAAAGAUUUACAUGUUUUAUAACAAGGAGCCACUUAACUAAACAGACCCAGAAAUUCUCAAUGCCAUUUAGGUAGAUUUCAUCUAUUCACUUGCAUAAAACAUCUGGUGCUCACCA
rnacentral:lncRNA from 1 species